rnacentral:rRNA from 1 species
UAGCUACAGGCUUAACACAUGCAAGUCGAGGGGCAUCAGGAAGAAAGCUUGCUUUCUUUGCUGGCGACCGGCGCACGGGUGAGUAACACGUAUCCAACCUGCCCUUUACUCGGGGAUAGCCUUUCGAAAGAAAGAUUAAUACCCGAUGGCAUAAUGAUUCCGCAUGGUUUCAUUAUUAAAGGAUUCCGGUAAAGGAUGGGGAUGCGUUCCAUUAGGUUGUUGGUGAGGUAACGGCUCACCAAGCCUUCGAUGGAUAGGGGUUCUGAGAGGAAGGUCCCCCACAUUGGAACUGAGACACGGUCCAAACUCCUACGGGAGGCAGCAGUGAGGAAUAUUGGUCAAUGGGCGCUAGCCUGAACCAGCCAAGUAGCGUGAAGGAUGAAGGCUCUAUGGGUCGUAAACUUCUUUUAUAUAAGAAUAAAGUGCAGUAUGUAUACUGUUUUGUAUGUAUUAUAUGAAUAAGGAUCGGCUAACUCCGUGCCAGCAGCCGCGGUAAUACGGGGGAUCCGAGCGUUAUCCGGAUUUAUUGGGUUUAAAGGGAGCGUAGGUGGACUGGUAAGUCAGUUGUGAAAGUUUGCGGCUCAACCGUAAAAUUGCAGUUGAUACUGUCAGUCUUGAGUACAGUAGAGGUGGGCGGAAUUCGUGGUGUAGCGGUGAAAUGCUUAGAUAUCACGAAGAACUCCGAUUGCGAAGGCAGCUCACUGGACUGCAACUGACACUGAUGCUCGAAAGUGUGGGUAUCAAACAGGAUUAGAUACCCUGGUAGUCCACACAGUAAACGAUGAAUACUCGCUGUUUGCGAUAUACAGUAAGCGGCCAAGCGAAAGCAUUAAGUAUUCCACCUGGGGAGUACGCCGGCAACGGUGAAACUCAAAGGAAUUGACGGGGGCCCGCACAAGCGGAGGAACAUGUGGUUUAAUUCGAUGAUACGCGAGGAACCUUACCCGGGCUUAAAUUGCAGUGGAAUGAUGUGGAAACAUGUCAGUGAGCAAUCACCGCUGUGAAGGUGCUGCAUGGUUGUCGUCAGCUCGUGCCGUGAGGUGUCGGCUUAAGUGCCAUAACGAGCGCAACCCUUAUCUUUAGUUACUAACAGGUUAUGCUGAGGACUCUAGAGAGACUGCCGUCGUAAGAUGUGAGGAAGGUGGGGAUGACGUCAAAUCAGCACGGCCCUUACGUCCGGGGCUACACACGUGUUACAAUGGGGGGUACAGAAGGCAGCUAGCGGGUGACCGUAUGCUAAUCCCAAAAGCCUCUCUCAGUUCGGAUCGAAGUCUGCAACCCGACUUCGUGAAGCUGGAUUCGCUAGUAAUCGCGCAUCAGCCACGGCGCGGUGAAUACGUUCCCGGGCCUUGUACACACCGCCCGUCAAGCCAUGGGAGCCGGGGGUACCUGAAGUACGUAACCGCAAGGAUCGUCCUAGGGUAAAACUGGUGACUG